GUCCGGCUGACGAGUCUCAAAUAGGACGAAACAUGUGUCAUAGAU
rfam:Schistosoma mansoni strain Puerto Rico chromosome 2, complete genome